rnacentral:rRNA from 1 species
GACGAACGCUGGCGGCGUGCCUAACACAUGCAAGUCGAGCGAAUGAAGUUCCUUCGGGAAUGGAUUUAGCGGCGGACGGGUGAGUAACACGUGGGCAACCUGCCUCAUAGGGGGGAAUAGCCUUCCGAAAGGGAGAUUAAUACCGCAUACGAUUGUAGUAUCGCAUGAUACAGCAAUUAAAGGAGCAAUCCGCUAUGAGAUGGGCCCGCGGCGCAUUAGCUAGUUGGUGAGGUAACGGCUCACCAAGGCGACGAUGCGUAGCCGACCUGAGAGGGUGAUCGGCCACAUUGGGACUGAGACACGGCCCAGACUCCUACGGGAGGCAGCAGUGGGGAAUAUUGCACAAUGGGGGAAACCCUGAUGCAGCAACGCCGCGUGAGUGAUGAUGGCCUUCGGGUUGUAAAGCUCUGUCUUCAGGGACGAUAAUGACGGUACCUGAGGAGGAAGCCACGGCUAACUACGUG